rnacentral:rRNA from 1 species
AGGGUUUGAUCAUGGCUCAGAUUGAACGCUGGCGGCAGGCUUAACACAUGCAAGUCGAGCGGUAACAGGGGAGCUUGCUCCUGCUGACGAGCGGCGGACGGGUGAGUAACGCGUAGGAAUCUACCUAGUAGAGGGGGACAACAUGUGGAAACGCAUGCUAAUACCGCAUACGCCCUAAGGGGGAAAGGAGGGGACUUUUCGGAGCCUUCCGCUAUUAGAUGAGCCUGCGUAAGAUUAGCUAGUUGGUAGGGUAAAGGCCUACCAAGGCGACGAUCUUUAACUGGUCUGAGAGGAUGACCAGUCACACUGGGACUGAGACACGGCCCAGACUCCUACGGGAGGCAGCAGUGGGGAAUAUUGCACAAUGGGCGAAAGCCUGAUCCAGCAAUGCCGCGUGCAGGAUGAAGGCCUUCGGGUUGUAAACUGCUUCUGUACGGAACGAAAAAGUUUCUCCUAAUACGAGAGGCCCAUGACGGUACCGUAAGAAUAAGCACCGGCUAACUACGUGCCAGCCGCCGCGGUAAUAC